rnacentral:rRNA from 1 species
UAGGGAAUCUUCCGCAAUGGACGAAAGUCUGACGGAGCAACGCCGCGUGAGUGAUGAAGGUUUUCGGAUCGUAAAACUCUGUUGUCAGGGAAGAACAAGUACGAUAGUAACUGAUCGUACCUUGACGGUACCUGACCAGAAAGCCACGGCUAACUACGUGCCAGCAGCCGCGGUAAUACGUAGGUGGCAAGCGUUGUCCGGAAUUAUUGGGCGUAAAGCGCUCGCAGGCGGUUCUUUAAGUCUGAUGUGAAAUCUUGCGGCUCAACCGCAAACGUGAAUUGGAAACUGGAGGACUUGAGUGCAGAAGAGGAGAGUGGAAUUCCACGUGUAGCGGUGAAAUGCGGAGAGAUGUGGAGGAACACCAGUGGCGAAGGCGACUCUCUGGUCUGUAACUGACGCUGAGGAGCGGAAGCGUGGGGAGCGAACAGG